ACUACCAUAUAAUUUGCAGCCAACUGAGUAUCAGUCGCAAAUAGCCAAUUUAUGCCCUAUUUUCUUUUAUUUACUUUCCCCACUUUUUAUAUUUGCCCUAGUCCCUUCACAAACGCUGUCUCUCUCUCUCUCUCUCCCUCCCUCGGUCUCACAUAUGAAUCUCUCUGGUCUCUCAAUCUAGUCUCUCUCUCUCUCUCUCUCUGUAUCUCUCUUUCAAUCUUGUGCUCUCUCUCCUUGAUGUCCUUCUCAGAUCAGCACCUCUGCUAUGUCGAUAUCCUUCAUCCUCUUCAGGUAAACACACCUAUAUAUGUACCUCUAUAUAUUAUGUAUAUGUGAAUUUCAAAAUUGAAAUUGAAUUUAUUCUGUUGAGGUCCGAGCAAGAAUCGAAGCAUCCGUCCUCAACUUCCUCAAGAUCUUGAACUCUUCGACUCUGUCAAUCUCAUGUCUCUCUGGUUUGCAAUUUUGCUUCAAAUCUGUACUCUCAAAAUGUGUAUGUGUGUGUGUUAAGCAUUGAAUCACUGUUGAUUUUGAGUAGAUGAAUUUGGGGAUUUUUGAGUGUGUUAUAAAUCGAGAUGGAGUAAUAGCAGAGUGAGUUAGAGUGUGUUGAUUGAUGUUUCGUGAAUUUUUCUCUCACUUGUUUUGCACGAGGUCUUUGAUGAGAGUUAACACUGCUCAAUCCUUCAUCAGAGGUAAUAAUAGGAUCAUCAUCAUCUCUCUUUCUCAUUUGCCUUAUUAAUCUUAUCUUUUUUAAAAAUUUCAGACUCACUGAUAUAGAUACAGAUACAGAUACAAACAAAGGCUCCCUUUGCUUCUCCAAAAAAUGUGAAUUUGUAAUUUUUUACUCAGUCUAAUUUGUAAUUUUCAUUUAAUUUUAUGUUCAUUUAGUUCAUUAAGGUCUAUAUGCUUCAACUUUAAUUUUGGCCAUUCCAUUUUUGUUUCUUUUCUUCAAUUUAGGAUAAAUUAGGCCUGUGUGUGUGUUUGGUUAUCAUGAAUUGUUUAUUGUUUUUGUUGAAUUAGUGCUGUGCUUUGUGUUUUGGAUACCUAACUAGGGUCUUUUAUUUGUGUUUUGAACAUGUUUAAGGUUCUAUUAUUUUUAGUGUGAUUUGAUUGGCAGCGGAGAAUGGGAUUUCUUACACCUGAUCAGACUGGGGAUCAUAAGAUGUUUAUCAUGCUCUUUUUCACGUUGCCGAUUAUUUUUGGAUAUCUUUUGGUUUUUUUAUUUUAUUUUUAUAUUAAUUAUAUAUGAGCAAAUGAUGAUUUAUAUCAAAUGUUUGUGGCAAUGCUCUGUUUGAACUUUCAUAUGCAGAGAACGCCUUUCUUCUAGGGAAGAACUUUUGUCUUGUUUGAACACUUGAACAUGCCACCUAUGUAUAAUGACAUCCUGUUCUUCCUAAUGAGAUUUCAUUCCCGAUUCUUCAUUCUGCUGUUCUCUCUCUCUCAUUAUGAAUUCCCUCACCCUGGUUCAAUUUAUAUGCACUGAUCUGAAUUAGCAUCUUCAGUGCUUACAGUCCAUUGGGUAUAUUGCAUUGCAUCAUUUAGGUUAUGCCUAGAUGCGAGUUAAGAAAAAAGUAUUUCAAUGAUUAUUUUUCAGGUAUCUUUUAUAGGAUUUGUAGAUGGAUUAGUUGAUGUUUCUCAGAAACACUUCCCAUUUUCAGCCAAAAGUUAGACAAGGAUAUGGGUUCAUGCACACACAAAACAAUCAGAGUGUGAUUUGUUGUCGUCCUCUCCUAUCUUGUAUUAUUUAUUAUUUUUUCUCUUUGGUGGUUUGGUGUGCUUGUGCACACGCAUGUGUGUACACUUUUGGCAUCAAGGAUAUGAAUCUUGCAUGUGUACCAAGCAAUAGAAGCUUGAUUUAUUGUUCUUCUUUUGGGAUGUAUAUGUGCACCAUAGUAAACUGUCUCAGGCUUCAUUUAGGGAUGCCUAGAUCAGAUGACCAUGUUUUCUCAAGCAAAACUUGAACAAAUAAAAGUUUGUCCUCCAUAUGCACUUAACACAAUUGUUUCUUCAAUCUCACCCUAUUGUCAAGCUCUGUCUGCGACAAAUACUAUCUGUAUUAUAUCAUUGUUUGGAGGUUGGUCUGAAAUAUUACUAGAAAUUGUCCAAAAGUUUAGUAGUGUGAAUCGUGUAUAUCAUAUCUUUUAGACUCAUGGAUGGGUUUUUAGACAUUGAAGAACUGGAUGCAUGCUAAAAUGCUAUUAUCAAUCUGACUUGUUAUUUGUUAAUUGGAGUCUUUUGUGUAAGAGCAGCAGCAAAAACAACUUGAACUCAUUCUGGCAAUUGGAAAGACUGGAAAGGUAUAAUUUUGUGUGUACGUGGACAUUACAUCAUGUAUCUUUAGGAAAACUUUUGCUGCUGCUUGUUAUUCUUUGGGUUUCCAUCAUGCAUCUUUUUUUGUAUUUAGUUGCUAUUCUUCCAGUUGUCCAGAAGCAACACCAACUUCUUAUGACUUUGCUCCUAUGUCAUGCAUGCACUAUGGAGGUUGGUGAAUGGAAUUUAUAUUUCUAGUAAAUAUAUGAAAUUUUUUCUUCACUGUCUGGAAUUGACCUUUGCUUUGUAUUUUUUAUUAUUAUUUUGUCCUUUAAAUUAUUUGUGUGCAUGGUACUCUAUUUUUAUUAUCUUAUAAUUAUUUCCUCAUUUGACAUCUUGGGGAUGUAUUUAUAAUGGUAAAUUAUUAGUUAAAUUUAUUUGAUAAGUGUGCCUCAAUUUUGUGUGAUUCUUGAAAAAAGUUUCUUAGAUGUUUCAAAAUAAAAUUUUCUGGUUGUUUCUGCAUACAAUAACUUAAAUGAAUGCUUUAGGUGUAAUGACAAAUUAAUGCUUUAGUGAGAGUUAGGUGUUGCAUUGGGGAUUUUGCUUCAUCUUGUGUUCACAUGCAAUAUUGUGAACAAGACCAUUUCUGGUCUGAAGUUUGCAAACUAAUUUAGAUAUACCAAUUUAUUUAUUUAUUUAUUUAUUUUGUCUCCUAAAUGAAUCAAUUAAAUGACAGCUUUAUCUUAAAAAAUUAAUUUCUAUUAGCUAAUGAUCUGUUGUCUGUUUGCAAGUUUCAUGGUUGUAUAAUUUAGAAACUUAGUAUAGUACUAAACAAGACUUCUAAAGGCAAUGUACAUAAAUUAUUUUGAGACCCAUUUCAUUGAGUUCUUAGAUAUGAUGCAUGGGAGCUCAAGAAGCAAUAUGCACAUUCUUAAUAUAGCGACAAGGUGUUUCUCCUGAAAAAGGCACGGGGGCAACAAUAUCUGAUGAUAAUGAUGAUCAACUAUAUAGCGACACCAACAUUUUCGAUGGAAGUUUUGAUGAACAGCAAACGCGGGCUGAAACAAAGCUGCCUCGAGCAGCACUACUUUGAACACUAGGAAGCUCGACGAAGAGAUGGAGAAUCUUUCUCAUGAGUAUAUUUAAAUUCGAGCGUGCACGUGUAUAUAUAUAUGACUCAUUUACUUCUUUUCAAUUCCUUGUACGUUUUUUGAAUGAAUUUUACAAUUCAUUUAAACUUCUUUCCACAUGGAGAUGAUAUAUGUGUUGAUACACCUAUUAACUUUCUUUGGUGAUGUGAGUCAUGUGGCCUUGUUUAUUUAGAAUUUUUCUUAGCACUGGAUAUUCAUUUUGAAUAGAAUAAUUUACACAACUUUAAACC